AUUGAACGCUGGCGGCAGGCCUAACACAUGCAAGUCGAACGGUAACAGGAAGCAGCUUGCUGCUUCGCUGACGAGUGGCGGACGGGUGAGUAAUGUCUGGGAAGCUGCCUGAUGGAGGGGGAUAACUACUGGAAACGGUAGCUAAUACCGCAUAAUGUCGCAAGACCAAAGAGGGGGACCUUCGGGCCUCUUGCCAUCGGAUGUGCCCAGAUGGGAUUAGCUUGUUGGUGGGGUAACGGCUCACCAAGGCGACGAUCCCUAGCUGGUCUGAGAGGAUGACCAGCCACACUGGAACUGAGACACGGUCCAGACUCCUACGGGAGGCAGCAGUGGGGAAUUUUGCACAAUGGGCGCAAGCCUGAUGCAGCCAUGCCGCGUGUAUGAAGAAGGCCUUCGGGUUGUAAAGUACUUUCAGCGGGGAGGAAGGGAGUAAAGUUAAUACCUUUGCUCAUUGACGUUACCCGCAGAAGAAGCACCGGCUAACUCCGUG
rnacentral:rRNA from 1 species